GAGCUACACGAGCUGGGUUAAAUACGUCGUGAGACAGUAUGGUUUCUAUCUUCUAGAAG
rnacentral:rRNA from 1 species